GGGCCCGCACAAGCGGUGGAGUAUGUGGUUUAAUUCGAUGCAACGCGAAGAACCUUACCAGGGUUUGACAUCCUGCGAAUCUCUUGGAAACGAGAGAGUGCCUUCGGGAACGCAGUGACAGGUGGUGCAUGGCUGUCGUCAGCUCGUGUCGUGAGAUGUUGGGUUAAGUCCCGCAACGAGCGCAACCCACGUCUUUAGUUGCCAGCAUUUAGUUGGGCACUCUAGAGAGACCGCCGGUGAUAAACCGGAGGAAGGUGUGGAUGACGUCAAGUCAUCAUGCCCCUUACAUCCUGGGCUACACACGUACUACAAUGCUACGGACAAAGAGCAGCAAGUUCGCGAGGACAAGCAAAUCUCAUAAACCGUGGCUCAGUUCGGAUUGUUGUCUGCAACUCGACAACAUGAAGUCGGAAUCGCUAGUAAUCGCGUAUC
rnacentral:rRNA from 1 species